UCAAAAGAAAUCAGCCAAGACCUUAGGAAAACAAUUGUAGACCUCCAAGUCGAUACGAGAUGAGAUCCAAAACGACCGAAUAGCCAUAUUAUUGUACAUUCAUUGAACGUUGAAGCUGAUGGUACGCCAGCAGAAGUUGCAAACCUGCUGCUCUGGUGUAACGAGGGAGUGUCGGAACACUCCUCUUUACUUCCAGCACAAAGUGAAGCGAAGAAGGCAGCUUCGGGAGUCCUGAGUCAGGACCAGCCUCAAAGGAAACAACGUUUUCAAUACAAAACGGUGGCCAUAGACUGACUGCCUGCAAGAAGACAUUCAUGUCAGUAGAUCAACUGACAACCGUCUACAGAGGGGGUUCCCGACAAGAGGACAGCCAGCGUGAGCCACUCCCUUCCACCUCUCAUCCUAGGAUGAGUAGUCAGAUGAACAACAGCCCCUGCAACCGACUUUCUGUCGUCUUCACCUCGGCCAUUCAACCACUGACUCAGUCAGCCAGCAUUAUGCAAACUGUGUGUGAGGUGGAAAUGUGGAGGGCGGAGGUACCAGCUGUGAGAGAAGCGCCAGCUAUGGGGGGAUUUGUGAGUGAGGGAAAGCACGUGAAUGGUUGAAUGAUUGUCUAUGCACUUUGUUGUAUUGUGUUUGGUUUAUCAAUACAUUUGACUUGCUUUGAAUGCUUAACUUAUUUUCUCCUUCAUUAAAAAAACAACAGUUUUUUACAUGCAGAUUCUGGCUCGUUGCAACUCAAGGAAGGUCACUAUAGUAACAGUACUUCUACUCUAGUAGGAUAUUUCAGUACUCUUUACACCUCUAGGUUUUAGUCCUCCA